rnacentral:rRNA from 1 species
AACGUAGGAGGCGAGCGUUAUCCGGAUUCACUGGGCGUAAAGCGCGCGUAGGCUGUCGAGUAAGUCGGACGUGAAAGCCCCUGGCUCAACUGGGGGAGGCCGUUCGAUACUGCUCGGCUUGAGGGUAAGAGGGGGAAGUGGAAUUCCCGGUGUAGCGGUGGAAUGCGUAGAGAUCGGGAGGAACACCAGUGGCGAAGGCGGCUUCCUGGCUUACCCCUGACGCUGAGAGCGCGAAAGCGUGGGGAGCAAACGGG